rnacentral:lncRNA from 1 species
AGCGCUGUAGGUAUCAUGAUCAAGAACUGUGAUCUGGAGAGGCUCAUCUUGUAGCUCUUCAUCAUCUACUUCAAAUUUAAACCAUUCAGAAUUCCACUGAGGAUUAAGUGACUUUGGAUAUACAUCUGUCUUAAACGUUGUGUUUCCAAAUUUUACCUCCACAAAGGCGUCGGUCAAGUCGCUAGCGCGAUCCAUCACCGGCAAAUGGCGCCCCGCCACGAUUUUGACCUUCAGUUUCCCCGGCAUCUUCCUCCUCCGCCUCCCGCCGGCUGCAGGGAGAAAACAACCGCGCGCGUCCCAUGGAACGGCACGGCCGAGCCGUGGGGGCGGGCGGAGCGGCCGCGCAUGCGUCACACCGAGCAACGGUCUCUCGCCGCCCGCCCAUGCCCGGCGCCGACGCCCGCACCCGGCGCCGCAACGGCCGCGGGCACGCGCGCGGUGACGCGCCCAGCAGGAAAGGGACUGCCGCUGCGCGCAUGCGUACUUACCGAGGAGCGCGGGAGGGAAGGGGUGCGCGGCCGCCCCCGUUCGGGGCUUGGGGUGCUCCGCCGCUAAGAUGGCGCCCUCGGCGUGGAGGGCCCGCUGCGAUGCCAGCGCUGGUUCCUCGAUGGGUUCCGCGCUAGCGACGGAAGACGGGGUGCGUGAGCGCCGAGUCAUCGAUGCCUGGGGUUGCUGCCGGCCUCGCCGAGGCCUAUGCCCAGCUAAGCUGGAGGGCGAGCGGCCUGGGCUCGGCGUGCGCCCGGCCUUCCCCGAGGAAGGAUCUGCUGCAGGCCAGGCUGAGGGCCCCUGCAGGGGGAGUGGAGCGUGUGGGUGUGCUUUCUUAAUCAGAAGAAAAAUAUUUACAGGAAUUGAGGGAUCAUGAAUAGAUUAAAUGGAAUUUAGUUAUCAGAAAUAGGAUUUGAUAUGGUUCAUGUGGCCAGGUUUUGACUUCUUGAUGCCUGAAAAGCUCUUUGUUUAGGAAAUAGCUCAAGGGAAGCUUGGGGAGACAAAGCUGCAGGUGUGUCUGUCGGUGGGGGCCUGGGACUGCAGAACUGGGUUGCACUGGGCCUCGUGGGUCCCCUCCAGCUCAGAGCACUGCGUGGUGUGCAGGGAUAUAAAGAGCCUUUGUGCUUGGGCUGAGCAGUCCCCAAACGUGGAGCCAAGUGCGAGAUCUGCUUGGAUUAUUCCCCUCUCUUUCUAAUCUUACAAAAGACUAAAUAAUGUUAUGGUUUAGGCUGUGAUACUAAAAGCACAAACCAUAGGAACAAAGUACAGCAGUGUGCGGCAGAGCAAAUUAAGGCGUGGAGCUUUGUUAAGCUAUCUGCCCUCCAGCUAUAUGCUUUUUUGCCUUAUUAGCAUAGAUGGUACUUCCCUUCCUCAGUUUAUUAUGAAAGUAUCUCAGGAUCCAUUCAUACUGCUGCUGGAAUCCAGCAAACGUGAGGAAAUGAUGAGCAGGCUAGAUACAUGUUUCUUUCUGCAUCCUUGUUUCAGUGGAAUUACUUCCAGGGCAGAGCAGCAAUAAAGAGCAAAGAUCCUGGAAGGGAAUCAAAGCCGCAAAUGGUGUGGGUGUGGUUUAGACCAGAAGUCUGCUAUUUGUAAUGGAAUCGUCUGUUACCACCUGUAAGUGUUCUCACUCACAAAAUGGAGCAAUCGCACAGCACAUGGCCUGGAUACUUCUUUGGGAUUAGAUUGAAGAGGAGAGCACUCACUAGCAGUACACCAAAUAUAUUCCAGCUGUUUAACAGCAUUCAGGCCAGUACAGCAAAUUGAAUGUAGUGUAAAAUAUCUUGAAUAGGGAUGUGGAUGCUGGGUCCUUAGUAGCAGAACCCAGAAGAGAGGCCAUUAAUUCUGUACGUUGCUUGUAAACAUAGGCGUUCCUGUAUUUUAACUUUCCUACUGGAGUAGAAAAUCACCAGCAGAGGGUGUGAUGACAAAAAGUAAAAACAGUUCUCUGUAGCCUUUGGUAGAUAUAGGAUUCCUUGGCGUUCAUUGAUUUGUGAUGUACACUGCACUGUAGCCCAAGAUUGAGGAAGUGUAAAGUGAGCUCUUGACUAUAAACAAGUGGGAGCAAAGUAGAAACAAACUUUGUUGUAUGUUAUUUUCCUUUGUCUGGCAAAAACACCUUUUUUUCCCCCUUUGUUUGCUAAAUAAAUUAAAAUGCAGUGAUUUUUAGGAAACAUGGUGUGGUUACUACGACUUUACUACAUCUUGUGAUAUGCAGUGAUUUUUCAGAUCCUAAAGAUUGGGAAAGCCUGACUAUUUUUGCUUUAAUUUGGAAGGAUACAUUUUUAGUACAUUAAGAAGAUAAAGACUGAAACUGUCCAGUGCAUUGUAAGGAAAGGAGCACAAGCUUAGUUAGUUGUAUCUCUCCAGAGAUAGGUAGGUGACACUACAAGACAUUUAUGUGAAGCUGGGUUCUUUCCAGAUCUCCCUUUAGUCACUGAACAGUGAACAAAACCUCUGGAAUACUUUAAUGCUCACCAGAGGUUGAGCAGUUUGACUGACCUAAUGGACAGUUAAUGCAGUGAGUACCUAAGUAUACUCCCUUGGUAAAUAAAAUAGCUAUGGUUUAGGACAAUUCUUAGAUGGUUCAUGCAUUAUUCUGUCUGGUGCUUGCGCUCAAGAGGCAUUUGAGGGAACAUCUUAAAAGAGACAAGCUCAUCCAGGCAGGUUCCAGAUAAACUGCAGCCCCCCUGGCUCCAAAAGGCUUUUCAUAUCUUCCCAGACAAUUCAUCUAAUUGUUUUCCAAUAUAAAAAAGUCUAGAGUUCAAACUGUUUCAAGAUGAAAUACAAAUCUGUUCUUGUCUCAUCUACUAAACCUAGGCAACAGAUUAUCCCUUCAGAAAUAUUAGAAGACCUUCAGAUUGCUUGUAACUGAUACACGUGCUUCUAAGUAAGCUGUCAUGCUAUUUAACUGGGGCCAAUAGGAUCCACAGAUCAAUUACUAUAUGGAAACAUGUUCUAAGUUUAAUUUUGAACUUUUGGUUCAUAUGUGAAUUCCCAUCUCUUAGAUUAUGAGAGAGGAAUGAAUAUUUGUUCCUUUUACUCAGGCAACAUUUUUAAAAGGAUGUUGUAUAGAUUCAAUGCCUACCUGUGUGACCUACUGUAGGGACACUGCUUUAGCAGUGGGGUUGGACCCUUCCAACCCCUGCAAUUCUAUGAUUCUGUAAGUUAUUUGGAACAAAUUAAAAACAAACAAACAAAAAAACCAGAACUUUUUUUUCCAGUCUCCACAGGUCUGUCUUUCAUGUGGCUGAACAUUUCUUCUUAACUUCCCGUGAAGACUCCCCAAACAGACCACAUGUUUUCUUUAAUCAUAUUAUCUCAGAUAAGAGGCAGUGUUCCAGGGAAGGUUUACCAAUGUUUCCUAGCAAAUAUGCCUCUCCCUCUCUGUGGGAUAAUGAAAUGCAAGGAUUGAUAUGGUGCAUACUUCUCUAAGAUUGGUCUAAGAACCCAUCUUUACAAAUGAAGAUUUUAGUAAUAAACAAAAAAUGAGAAAUAAAGAAAAAACCCCACAACUGUCUUGGAGAACCAGUUCAAUUCUGUUUCUUAGCCAUUUGAAAGGAUCAGUUAGACAAAACUUAAUGCAUUAAGAAACCUGCUUGUUGCGUUAUGUCUAUCAUAAGGUUGAUGACUUCCUACGCUGGUGUGUACUGGAGACCUGUUUUCUUGUAAAUUAACCUUAACGCAUCUCAUGCAAAUAGCAUUCCAGUUCCCUAUGGCCAGCAGGAGUUUACAGAAAGGGAAAGGUAGAAGAGACUCUGGCAAAAGUUUGGCCAGAGCCCUAGAAUGUAUAAACUAUUGGAGGCAUCUGAAAAAGUAUUAGAUUUCCUGCUGUUCAGGCAAAUGUUCAAUGUAAUGAAUAUACUUUAAACCUACAGUGUGUGCUUUCUCAGUAAAAUGCACGCUUAGACGUCCAUAGAAAGCUUCAAGAUCUAUUUUCAUCAUGAUUGAUCAAAAUUGAUAUAUGAAAAUAUCAUGAUACAUUGAGCAUGUAUUGCCAUAUAUUCAAUGGCAUCAUAACCUAAUUUCUACAAACCAAGAAUUUGUUAAUUAGAAUUGUAAAGACGUCUUGUACAGAACAGUGAGUGCCAUAAAAGUAAGAGUUUAGUGUGGGGGAAGCUGGGGUGAUUUUAUAACCUACAUUUUUCUUUUUUCUUUUUCUUUUUCUUUUUUUUUUUGCCUCCCCACGUGUUUAAGUAUGAUAGGAUUUCGAUUUUCUUUCUGCUUAACUGUUAGCUCAGUACGUGCUUUGAUUUCCAACAAAGAGAUUUUUCUUGUGAUAGGCAUACACGUUUAACCCUUAGUUUAGAAACUGAUACUCCAAAGAACAAUUUUCCUCAUAACUUUAGUCUGCUAACUAAACCUACCCCUUCAGUUAGAUUUCAGCAGUGCUGGCUUAUUGACCUUCUUUACAUACACAAACUUCCCUCAAGUUGCAGCAUGAAUUGAGAUGUUAAGGAGGUGUCUUCACCAUUGGAAGGAGCACUUUUUAUUUAUUCUGCAUUAAGCUGAUUUUGAGAAAAAGCAGUGAAGAAGUUUUGUUUGUUUGCUUCUCCUUUAUUGAAACCACAGUGACUUCUUCAGGAGUCUACUUAAAGGUAUGUCUGCUUUUGCAUGGUAGCAUUCACAGAAGGUACUGACUCUAUUUCUUCUGCAGUUGCUGUGCUGAGUGCUGUCUGUAACAGGACACUACGGUAAUAGUUGUCAACUACUAUCCACAGAUAAAAUUUUGCAGUGUCAGUUUUUGUUUGCUGGAAAAAUGCCAGUGUUUCUCUGUGAAACUGCAUGUUCCAAAGCUAUCUGCUGAAAUCUACAGGACAACGGUCCAAAAAUAGCUUUUUAUAAUGCCCAGAGUGUGUUGUAUCCUGAGUGUUACGUAGAUAAUAGGUAUGUAAAUACACACCCACCCACCUGGGGAGGUUGUAAUGAGCUCAGUUUUCCUGGCUUCAUCCUGCUUUCCCUAAAGGUACUUCUUUCAAUAAUACUUUUUAAUCUUGAUACUCUAGUAUGUAAAAAUGAGAUUAUCAUAAUGAGUUAUCUCCCUGAUGCAAUUAAACUGCCAAUGUAUACUAUUAAUUGUAUCACAUACCUUACUUUUGUCCUGAAUCUAUUCAAAAUAGUUCUCAAGCUAAGAGAAUUAAUUUGAGCUGACACUGGUGAUAUAUGAUAAUAUAGUCUACUCCUUUGUAUUAUACAGGGACUGAAUGCAGAACUCAUUUGGUCUUUCAAAGGUGACAGUAUGUUGGAGUUGAUUUUUAAGGUUAAAGAUUGCCAAGAAAAAAAGAUACUGUUCACAGAACAGAUAGUUGGAUCCAGACAAAUGUGCUAAUAAUGAAAACUCUUUUCUCUAAUUCCUGUGCUUUCUACAAUAUUAUUCCUAUUCGUCGACCUAGCGAAUUGAGUAAAACCUCUGUGGCCUUUGAGGACAAACAGAAGCCAAGAAUUAUUUUCAAGACUUACUUUAGAAGGGUAAACAUAAGCUCAGUUAUGCCUCAGACCAAAAAUUAUAUUUCUGAGUUGUUUGUGUACAUUUGUUUCCUGGAUAUUAAAUGAAAGUAUUUCCUAUGGAAGAAAAAUCUCAACAUUUUAUUUUUUUGACCAUGACAUCUUUUCAUCAGUCCAGUCAAAUCAGUAACGAUUUCCUGUUGAAUUUAGCAGUUUGGGAUUUGGUCCAUAUCAAGCAGCUCCUAACAACAUUAAAAUAAUUUAACAAUGUUAAAAUUUUCCAUUUCAUGCUAUUAUUGCUGCGUGAAGCUUUCAAUUUCCAGAUAGACUUGAAAGAAAUUGGAUAAAAUAAAUAUUCACUAACAUGAGAAUGUAUGCAAUUACCUACUGGGAGAAUCAAACAACUGGAGCUGAUGUCAUGUUCUCAGCUAGUAAUUGGAUAUCAUUUAUCUUUCUUCUACUUCUGUAAGAGAAAUAACACUGCACAGAGCUUUGUGCAUUUUAUGAGCAAUGAGUGGCAAUGGCAUAACUGGGAUAUCAGUUCACAGAGAUUGCAGUAGAACCCUGUGUACACAUGCUCUAGGAAAGAUAUUUAGUUACAAGCAGUACAGUAAUAACAGCUAUUCAAAGUACUUCAAAUGUACAAAGCCCUAGUUAAUUAGUCAACACCUAGUUAAUAAUUUAAUUAAAUGUAAUUGUUAGCAGUAGCAUUUAUAUCAUUAGAAGAUAAUUAGUCCUUCAGUGACUUCCUCCUCCUAGAGGUUGAGUCAAAUGAAUUGUUUAACUGCUUGUAAUUUGUGUUAGACUUUCACAGUUAUUAGAAUUGUUAUAUUUGCUGAUUUUUCUUGUCUUUAACGUUGCUGGUAUUUUAUCUUCCUUUUUCCUGUAUAAUAGAUUUUUUUUGGAUGGGACCUGAACAGAUAGAAUGAAAUAUUAAUGUACUGAAGUUGCUGUCAGGAUCAAAGUUGAUGGUCCUGAAAGGUUGAUUAAUGCUUAUUAGAGCUAUGGUCCUUGCAGUAGCUAUGGCCCUUGCAGUUUGUCUUGCCAACAGCUGUACGGCAAGAAAGAGUCCACACAUCCUCAUCAAAUCCUCCUGUCUUGGUGGAGGAUAUUUUAAGGACAGUAACAACAUCAACUAUCUGUAGAGUAGUCUUCAAGAUCCUUCACAAGAUAUGCAAGCUAUUUCCUGGUGCAUUAAAGAGAUUAAAUUGGAUUACGAGUAAAACAAUAAAUCUUUGUAUUCUAAAACUUGGAGUGCAUGCAGUUCUUAAUAACCAUGUGAUGCUUUUGCUUCUCGUGUUCCAUUCGGAAUAGAUAUGAUGUUGUGAGCUAUUAAACAUUAAAGUUUCUAACAUACAAACAAUAAAAACACAAAUUCGUGGAACAAACUUGCUGAGUUUUGUUUUCAACAGCAGGCAACAUUCAGCUUCUUACAAAAGUGAAGAAUGCAGCCCUGUGCCUAAACCGUGGUGAUGUCAGUUUACAGUCAAAACAACUGACAGCAGCUUUCACCUUGUUUAUUUUAAGAGAGUUUCAUUUUCAUGCCAAGCCAAAGGAGACAGGGAGGCUCCUGAUCUGGAUUCGCUCUCCCCCAUUAGUACGUAGGAAGUAUAAAAACUAGGCUCUUAACUCAGGCUGGCGGAGUUAGAAGCUUAAACUGUAACAUCCUUAUAAUUCACUUUCUUCUACCAUCCAAUUUGUUGUGAAAAGUAUGUUCUACUGCUGUAGAAAAUGUCAUUCAAGCUCAGCUUCACAAAGUGCUCAUGACACAUAUGAAUGAGGAAGAGGGAACUGUGACUGCUAAGAGAUGAAGCACUUCACUAACUAGACAGAAAACCUCUCUUCAGGCUUGCUGUGAUAGAGGAAAAGAAUCAACAAAUAGAAGAAACCAUCUCCUCUUUAUUCAGAGCUUGGAGAGAGCAGGAGCAGGCAGACAGCCACAACUAGAAGUUCCAAGUUCAUUUUGUGUCUUCUACUGGGAAUGGGCACUGUAUCUUUUGUGAUAAGGCGAGAGAAGUGCUGCUGGUUCAGGAAGCAGAGCUGGGUGGGCUUAGUGAUAAAAUCUUAUGCUGUAUAUAAAGUUACACAGAAGUCCAGCACAGAAAAGAUUGUUAUCUGUGGCUGAUGGAUUAUUGGAGCAGCCAAGAUGAAUGCUUCUAACAAAGCAAUUUUCUGAUUUAUUUAUCAGAAUCUUGAUUCCUAUAUACAUUCCUGCACCCCCCUGGGAUGAGACGAGAGUCUCCCUUCACAGAAAAAUCAUAGAAGUGCAGGAGUUGCAGGGUAACUGAAGCCCUACAAAGCACUCUUUUCAAUAAAAUAAAAUAAAAUAAAAAUCUGACACACAGUCUUGGUACUUGUAACUGUAUUAUGUGGUGCAGAAAAGAGGGAAGAUCAAUGGUCUCAGUACAGGCUUAUUGUCUAACUGUGAGUUAAUCCAGCUCAUUCUCUUGAUUACUAGCUGUUGAAGCAAACUCUUCAUAUUCGUUACUCAGUGCCUGACUUCUUAAGUAAAAACUUGUGUUGAGUAAAGCCUGGCUAACUAAAAGUAGGAUCCUGGUCUCUGUCAUCUGUGCUUGUUCUGAGUACCAUCCUAAUUCAUUCUUGACAAGGUUGUGGCCAAUGCAACAUUUGACCCUGUUAAAAGCAAUUUAUGGAGCUUUUGAUAUAUGAAGACAGAGUCUUGAAACUCCGUUCAAAGUACAAAAAAAUCACAUUUGUCAAACUUGUUCUGUACUUUUGCUCCUUUUAUGUACGGGAGAAUUAUGAUCAUCACAUUGGACUGUGUUGUUAGCUGAGGAAGAUAUUGCUUUGAUUUUAUUAACCAAGAUGAUUAUGAACAACACAACCUGUGAAAUAUUGAUAAUUAAAUGUAAUGAUUUUUAUAGAAUCAUAGAAUAUCCUGAGUUGGAAGGAACGCAUAAUGAUAAUCAAGUCUAGCUCAUGGCUCUGCACAGGAGUAUGCAAAAUCCAAACCCUGUGUCUGAGGGUGUUGUCCAAACACUCCUUAAUUCUGACAGACUGGGGAACCUUUUCCAUGCCUGACCACCCUCUGGUGAAGAACCUUUUCCUAACAUGCACCUUGACCUCCCAUGACACAGCUCUGUGCCAUUUGGCAGUUGUCUCUUCAAUUCUACAACACAACCCAGCUCAAAGGACACAUAAGGAGACUGGAAAACUACUGAAUGCUUUCCAGUGUGUGAAAGUUGAAUACAGAUCUUACUUAGGCAAGCCAGGAGGUAAGGACAGUGGCACCACCUGUACCAACAAGGCAGACAAGGACAGUGGCACCACCCACCAGUAUGAAGUUCCACAGCAUCCAAGUAAGAUUGCUGAGUCCAUGGGGUGCUGGUCUACAUUAACUAGGCAGGUCCAAAGUUGAGACAAGCCAGCAGGGUGGGGUCAUGAGGUAUGCGCUGCAAGGCUGGAUGCAGUCAGUUUACCACUGCUCUCAGGUGAGGGCUAAGGGCCUGGGCCCAAGCCUAGCCCAGCUCCCAGACCACGGGCAAAAGCUGCAGAGACCCCAGGAGUUAUUUUCAAGGAAUCCUCAUCAUGUAUUAAUGCUGGUCUUGAAGAGUGGCAGCUAAACUUUGGAGAGGGAGAUGGAAUGGCCUGCACAGGGAGUUGACCACCCUGGGGAGGAACCUUCAUAACUGUCCUGCAGAAUGAGGUUACAGGCUGGUGAGUGCAGUUCCACAGUCACAGAACAGAAUCAUAUAAUGCCUUAGGUUGGAAGGGAACUGAAAGAUCAUCUGGUUCCAACCCCCGUGCUGUGGGCAGGGUUGCCAACCACCAUAUCAGGCUAAAUCUCCCUUCUUUUAAUUUAAAACUCUCUCCCCUUGUCCCAUUACUGUUAGACCACGUAAAAAGCCUGUCUCCUUGUUUAUAAGCCCCCUCAAGUAGUGGAAGGCCACGAUGAGGUCUUUCUGGAUCUUUCUCUUCUCUAAGAUGAACAAACCCAGCUCCCACAGCCUUUCCUCGUAAGAGAGGAGGUCUAGCCCUCUGAUCAUCUUUGUGGUCUCCUCUGAACCAGCUCCAACAGCUAUAUGUCUUUCUUGUGCUGGGGGCCCAAGGCCUGGAUGCAGUACUCCCGGUGGAGACUCCUGAGGGCAGCGUGGAGAGGGACAAUCACCUCCCUUGCUAUCCUGGCCACCCCUCUUGAUGCAGCCCAGGAUACGGUUGGCCCUUCAGGCUGCAUGCACAAUGCUGUAUAGAGCUUUUUAUUCACCAGAACCCCCAAGUCCUUCUUUGCAGGACUGCUCUCAAAGAGUUCUCCCAGUCUGUACACAUUCCUGGGAUUGCCACAAUCAAAGUGCAACUUGCAUUUGGCCUUUUGAACCUCAUUCAGUUCACAUGGGCCUAUUUCUCAAGUUUGUCCAGGUCUCUCUGAACGGUAU